AGCGAACGCUGGCGGCAGGCCUAACACAUGCAAGUCGAACGAACUCUUCGGAGUUAGUGGCGGACGGGUGAGUAACACGUGGGAACGUGCCUUUAGGUUCGGAAUGACUCAGGGAAACUUGUGCUAAUACCGAAUGUGCCCUUCGGGGGAAAGAUUUAUCGCCUUUAGAGCGGCCCGCGUCUGAUUAGCUAGUUGGUGAGGUAAAGGCUCACCAAGGCGACGAUCAGUAGCUGGUCUGAGAGGAUGAUCAGCCACAUUGGGACUGAGACACGGCCCAAACUCCUACGGGAGGCAGCAGUGGGGAAUCUUGCGCAAUGGGCGAAAGCCUGACGCAGCCAUGCCGCGUGAAUGAUGAAGGUCUUAGGAUUGUAAAAUUCUUUCACCGGGGACGAUAAUGACGGUACCCGGAGAAGAAGCCCCGGCUAACUUCGUG
rnacentral:rRNA from 1 species